rnacentral:rRNA from 1 species
CCGAGACACGGUCCAGACUCCUACGGGAGGCAGCAGUGGGGAAUUUUGGACAAUGGGCGCAAGCCUGAUCCAGCAAUGCCGCGUGAGUGAAGAAGGCCUUCGGGUUGUAAAGCUCUUUUGUCAGGGAAGAAACGGUAUGGGCUAAUAUCCCGUACUAAUGACGGUACCUGAAGAAUAAGCACCGGCUAACUACGUGCCAGCAGCCGCGGUAAUACGUAGGGUGCAAGCGUUAAUCGGAAUUACUGGGCGUAAAGCGUGCGCAGGCGGUUUUAUAAGUUUGUCGUGAAAGCCCCGGGCUCAACCUGGGAAUGGCGAUGAAGACUGUAAGGCUAGAGUGUGUCAGAGGGGGGUAGAAUUCCACGUGUAGCAGUGAAAUGCGUAGAUAUGUGGAGGAACACCGAUGGCGAAGGCAGCCCCCUGGGAUAACACUGACGCUCAUGCACGAAAGCGUGGGGAGCAAACAGGAUUAGAUACCCUGGUAGUCCACGCCCUAAACGAUGUCUACUAGUUGUCGGGUCUUAAUUGACUUGGUAACGCAGCUAACGCGUGAAGUAGACCGCCUGGGGAGUACGGUCGCAAGAUUAAAACUCAAAGGAAU